rnacentral:rRNA from 1 species
UUCACAGCCAUAUCACCCUGCAGCCCAAGACUGGUCACCCACUGAAGCUAAGCAGGGUUGAGCCUGGUCAGUACUUGGAUGGGAGACCUCCUGGGAAAACUAGGUUGCUGUUGGAA